AUUGAACGCUGGCGGCAUGCCUUACACAUGCAAGUCGAACGGUAACAGGUCUUCGGAUGCUGACGAGUGGCGAACGGGUGAGUAAUACAUCGGAACGUGCCUAGUAGUGGGGGAUAACUACUCGAAAGAGUGGCUAAUACCGCAUGAGAUCUACGGAUGAAAGCAGGGGAUCGCAAGACCUUGUGCUACUAGAGCGGACGAUGGCAGAUUAGGUAGGUGGUGGGAUAAGAGCUUACCAAGCCGACGAUCUGUAGCUGGUCUGAGAGGACGAUCAGCCACACUGGGACUGAGAAACGGCCCAGACUCCUACGGGAGGCAGCAGUGGGGAAUUUUGGACAAUGGGCGCAAGCCUGAUCCAGCAAUGCCGCGUGCAGGAUGAAGGCCUUCGGGUUGUAAACUGCUUUUGUACGGAACGAAAAGCCCCGGGUUAAUACCCUGGGGUCAUGACGGUACCGUAAGAAUAAGCACCGGCUAACUACGUGCCAGCCGCCGCGGUAA
rnacentral:rRNA from 1 species